GGAGAGGGUUGCCAUUUCCUACUCCAGGGGACCGUCCCAACCCAGGGAUAGAACCUGUGACUCUUGCAUUGGCAGUGUUGAAAACAAUGAGUUGGUUCCCUUUCAUCCCUCAAAAGGUUCAUCUUGUACAGGUUUUUCCCCCGACCUGGAAUUUGUCAUUUCUUCAAGAAGUCUUGAAGUUAGAAUUGGAAUUUCAGUGCCACAAUCUGGAGAGCAGAGAUGCUCAUUGCUUAUGGGCUGAUCAUUUCUUCUAAAACUCUUCAGUGGAUAGAACAAAUAAAAACAGUAUGUUAAAUAAAAUAUCUG
ensembl:lncRNA